UCCCUGACGGUCCAGUGGUUAAGAUGCUGUGCUUCCAGUGCAGGGGCCGCAGGUUCAAUCCCUGAUCAGGGAA
rnacentral:tRNA from 1 species